GUAGGUGGCAAGCGGUUGUCCGGAAUUAUUGGGCGUAAAGCGCGCGCAGGCGGUUCUUUAAGUCUGAUGUGAAAGCCCACGGGCUCAACCGUGGAGGGUCAUUGGAAACUGGAGAACUUGAGUACAGAAGAGGAAAGCGGAAUUCCACGUGUAGCGGUGAAAUGCGUAGAGAUGUGGAGGAACACCAGUGGCGAAGGCGGCUUUCUGGUCUGUAACUGACGCUGAGGCGCGAAAGCGUGGGGAGCAAACAGGAUUAGAUACCCUGGUAGUCCACGCCGUAAACGAUGAGUGCUAAGUGUUAGGGGGUUUCCGCCCCUUAGUGCUGCAGCUAACGCAUUAAGCACUCCGCCUGGGGAGUACGGCCGCAAAGGCUG
rnacentral:rRNA from 1 species